rnacentral:misc_RNA from 1 species
UACGGAGGGUGCAAGCGUUGUCCGGAAUCAUUGGGUGUAAAGGGUGUGUAGGCGGGCGCGCAAGUCAGGGGUGAAAGCCCGCGGCUCAACCGCGGAAUCGCCUUUGAGACUGCGUGUCUUGAGUCCCGGAGGGGCCACUAGAAUUCGUGGUGUAGCGGUGAAAUGCGUAGAUAUCACGAGGAAUACCAGAGGCGUAGGCGGGUGGCUGGACGGGAACUGACGCUGAGGCACGAAAGCGUGGGGAGCGAACAGG